rnacentral:rRNA from 1 species
GAAGCGGGAAAAGCUCAAAUUUGAAAUCUGGCGGUUCUUGUAGCCGUCCGAGUUGUAAUUUAGAGAAGUGCUACCCGCGCUGGACCGUAUACAAGUCCUCUGGAAUGGGGCGUCAUAGAGGGUGAGAAUCCCGUCUUUGAUACGGACUACCAGUGCUUUGUGGUGCGCUCUCGAAGAGUCGAGUUGUUUGGGAAUGCAGCUCAAAAUGGGUGGUAAACUCCAUCUAAAGCUAAAUACAGGCGAGAGACCGAUAGCGAACAAGUACCGUGAGGGAAAGAUGAAAAGAACUUUGGAAAGAGAGUUAAACAGUACGUGAAAUUGCUGAAAGGGAAACGCUUGAAGUCAGUCGCGUCGUCUUGGAAUCAGCCUUGCUAUUGCUUGGUGUACUUCCUUGUCGACGGGUCAGCAUCAGUUUCGACUGUUGGAUAAAGGUCAUCGGAAUGUGGCACCUUCGGGUGUGUUAUAGCCUUUGAUUGUAUACAGCGGUUGGGACUGAGGUACUCAGCACGCCGCAAGGCCGGGUUUCGACCACGUAACGUGCUUAGGAUGCUGGCAUAAUGGCUUUAAUCGACC